AGCGAACGCUGGCGGCAGGCCUAACACAUGCAAGUCGAACGAACUCUUCGGAGUUAGUGGCGGACGGGUGAGUAACACGUGGGAACGUGCCUUUUGGUUCGGAAUAACUCAGGGAAACUUGUGCUAAUACCGAAUGUGCCCUUCGGGGGAAAGAUUUAUCGCCAUUUGAGCGGCCCGCGUCUGAUUAGCUAGUUGGUGAGGUAACGGCUCACCAAGGCGACGAUCAGUAGCUGGUCUGAGAGGAUGACCAGCCACACUGGGACUGAGACACGGCCCAGACUCCUACGGGAGGCAGCAGUGGGGAAUCUUGCGCAAUGGGCGAAAGCCUGACGCAGCCAUGCCGCGUGAAUGAUGAAGGUCUUAGGAUUGUAAAAUUCUUUCACCGGGGACGAUAAUGACGGUACCCGGAGAAGAAGCCCCGGCUAACUUCGUG
rnacentral:rRNA from 1 species